GACGAACGCUGGCGGCGUGCUUAACACAUGCAAGUCGAACGGAAAGGCCCCUUUGGUGGUCCUCGCGUGGCGGACGGGUGCGUAACACGUACGUAACCUGCCCUUGCCUUCGGGAUAGCUUCAGGCAACUGAAGCUAAUACCAAUUCGGAAUACUUGCCGCAUGGGCGGGGUUGGAAAGCUUAGGCGGUUUUGGGUGGACUCGCGGCUGUGCAGCUUGUUGGUGGGGGAGUGGCUUACCAACGCUUUGACGGGUAGCCGGCCUGAGGGGGGGACCGGCCACAUUGGGGCUGGGAUACGGCCCAGGCUCCUACGGGAGGGAGGAGUGGGGAAUAUUGCAAAAUGGGCGGCAGCCUGAUGCAGGAACGCCGCGUGGGGGAUGACGGGCUUCGGGUUGUAAAACGUUUUCAGCAGGGGAGAAGCUGGUAGUGACGGUACCUGCAGAAGAAGCACCGGCUAACUACGUG
rnacentral:rRNA from 1 species